CAUGAGUGCAGUUACAAUAUAGGGGAUACUAGAUUGUCAAUAUAAAUUUGUCAAAUGGAUGCUUGAUACAAAAGGCCGUUUUAACAUUCAGCGUAAGUACACAUAUAUACAUAUAGUGUUACACAUAUAUAUAUAUAUAUUUAUAUAUUUAUAUUAGUAUGUUAAUGUAUUAGCAACUUACCCUUUUUAUAUUUCCUCGUCGAUUUUCAACAAGACAAAACAAGACAAGACUGCUCACGUCGGCUCUGGAACGUAGCAGAUGAAGUAGCAGACCUCUGCAGUGGCUUCUAGCUCAAGGCAGGGAUAAAAUAAUAAGUCGACGAUUCUUCAAGGCUCGUAGUUGCGUUCAAGACUUUAUUCUCAAAUACGCUGAUUGUCAAAAUGCAUAGCAAGAGACGACUCGAGAAACAAAGUUUCCACGGACGUCCUUACCGCACUCAGGGAUUCACUCUGAGAAAAUCAGAAUGAAGAGCCAAAUUGCUAACGUCAAAGUGCAUAGCAAGAGACGACUCGAGAAACAAAGUCUCCACGGACGUCCCUGCCGCACUUACGGACUCACUCUGAGAGAAUCAGAAUAAAAGAGACCGAUGGAGAGAGCCGGAGAGAGAGCGCGAAAAGCGUUAGAGGGGCACGCCGUUCCCCACCGUGCGAUCGUAGGGGAAGCAGCAAGCUCCUCCUUUUCUCUAAGUGAAUCCGUGAGCACAGUUCUUUGUUCUUUAAUAUACAUUUUAAAAUAAACGCAAUUGUUUAAACAAUAUGAUUUUCAGCUUAAAAUAACGAGAACAAUAAGUUGUAUCGUCGGCUUCCACCUGCAACGUUCUGUCCGUGGCGAUGUACUAAAUUGAACUGAGAGAAUUUGUUUAUAUUACUUUAUCAUUCGCGUGACGUAUUUGUCACUGAGGCCGCAUCACCUAUGCUUCAAGAGGAUGCUCUAUGGAUCUGUUACUUGAGCUCGCAAGCCGUCGCUGAGAAGAUACGACUAUGAAGAUUCCUCGCUUGCUUAAAGUGCGAUAUACCUAUAGUAAUCGUUAGUUGCAAAUUGAACUUGUUAGUUAACUAAUUGAGCUAGAGAUGUGAAAUUGAACCUUUAAUUGUAAAAUAUCAUUUCCUUUUAUGUGCCCGUAUCAGAAAUAUUAAAUAUGUAUUAUUUAAAGAAUAUUCUUAUUUGACUUGUCUAUGUAGUAGGCACUCACGUACAUGCUGUGUGUAUGUGUGAGUGUAUGCGUGUGCAGUGAAAAGUGAUUUUAUACCGUUCUUACUUUAUAAGUUAAUAACUUUUAAACUAAUACGUAAAAAGUUUUGAAAUUUUGCAAGUGUGUUCCUUAAUGUUUGUUUUAAAUCGUAUUUAAGUUUAGUGAUUAAGAGAUGUAUUGUUUAAUUGUAAUAAAAUAUUAACUUGGCAAAAUGACAUAUUUCAGAUAUGCUUUAAAGUAUAGAGCGAGUUUUGUACCAAAUAUUCUUCAUUUACGCUACUUUACAAAAUAGUUAAUUUUUAUCGGCAAGGGCGUUAAUUCAUGAGAAUUGUUUAUUAGAUGGACAUUUGUUAAUUUGUUAGGUUUUAAUAAACAAUAUACUUUGUGUUAUAGGAAGUUUGUUCUGGCGACUGACUAUUUUUGCUGACUUUAUAUAAUUUCGGCAAGUUCGUGUAGCUAUGAUAAUCUACAACUUAUUUGAUAUAUGUCUUAUACAAUAAUUCUUAAUUAACAAUUGUAUUAGUCGUUACGUUUUCAACUAAAAAUUAUGAAAUAAAAAUUUUAAUAACAACAAAA